rnacentral:miRNA from 1 species
AUCGGUUCAAAACUGAACCGAAAAUGCAAGACUUGCUUUAAUUUUUUUCUGUUAGUGUUUUAUGUAUUGAUCUAGUACAGUGUAAAUAACAUGAGUUCCAUUAUAGUAAAUAAUACAGAAAGAAAUUGAAGGAAAACAAUUAAAGAAAGUCUUGCAUUUUCGGUUCAGUUUUGAACCGAG